rnacentral:lncRNA from 1 species
ACAGUAAGAUCAGAGCUUCAGGACCUAAGUAGUGCCUGGGGAUCUGAAAGAGACGACUGACUGAGGUGGUUGAUGGGAUUCUUACAGCCCUUGUCAGGCUCCAAUUUGCAAAGCUCCAGAGUGGAUCCCCAAGUUCUCUAUCAGGAAAUUGUGCAGGAGACUGGGGGAAAGGUGAGGAGGCAGCUAUCAAAUAUUUUCUAGUUCUUUGUUGGAGGCCCUGGCCAGGGGGCAUACUUGAGAAUGAGGAUAAACGAAAAGAGCGCCUCUUACCCGUGAUAAUGGUGGCUGGAAUCAGAGACCAGGCAUGGACAAGAAGCCAGUAGAGAGUGCUGGAGAGUGAGAACCAUGGACACCUGAGUAAACCUAUCAUCAAAGCAAAAACAGCCUGAACCUGGAGUCUAAAGCCAAGUACUAAAUCAAAGGAUUAGAAAGAUAAAGAGAUCAAGCACAAGAAGGCUGGUCUCAAACUCCUGACCUCAAAUGAUCCGCCCGCCUCAGCCUUCCAAAGUACUGGGAUUACAGGGGUGAGCUACCACACCCCCAGCCUUAAGUUAAGAAGAUAAGCCUAUCUUCUUAACCUGCCACCACCCCUAGCUUCCCACUAUUACUAACAUUUUGCAUUAAUGUGGUACAUUUGUUACAAUUAAUGAGCCAAGAUUGAUGCAUUAUUAUUAAUUAAAAUUUCAUAGUUUACAUUAGGGUUCACUCUUUGGGUUAUACAUUCUAUGGGUUCCGUCAGUUACAUAAUAACAUGUAUUUACCAUUACAAUAUCACAUAGAAACAGAAUAGUCACAUUGCUGAAGGUGGAUGUCCAGUUAUUCUAAUAGACUGGGCACUUUGCUAAGACUUUUAUUCUGAGAGGGACAGUUGGGGGAAUACUGACCGAAUUUCAUGUUGUAAUUGUACAAGAGAAGAAAUUGAUUUUCUUCACAGAGAAUUGAUUUUCUCAAGGUCACACAACUAAUGCUAGCUAAAUUGAGAGCAAACACUGAUCUACAAAUCAGAAUUUCAAUUGUAAUUUUUAAUGGAAGCUGUCUUUUCAGUGAGCAACGUACUUGUAUGUGUUACCUGGUACCUUCUAAGUGAGAAGGUGAUUUUUCCAUACAGAUUAAAUAAUCAGAGGGUUAUUUGGUGAAACAAAGCAAAGAGAUUAAGAGAGUCUUGGAAGAUAUUUCAUGUGGGUUGUGAGGUAACCUGAAUAUUUUUCCUACUUUACUAUGUACUCCACUUUUCUAAUAACAUAAAUGAUCAUAUCUCUUAGGGAUGGUGUUUUUUUUCAGUCACUAGAUGGACACACAUGCACACACAUUCACUGUUUAAUUUUCUUUGUCCUUGAUUAAACAUACCACAAUACUUGUAUAUCGCUGUGCUGAUAAAUUCAACAUUCAGUUCUAAGCUCUUGUUCUUUGACAGGUACUGUAAGAGGGGUGGAAAUUUCAGGAACACCUGCCCUCUUCUUGAUAAAUGUUUCAGAGAUUCUCCCAUGCCUUUUAUAAGCUUUUGGAAGCUUUUACAAUUUUGUCUUUUAUGUUUGGUUAUAGAGAGUUAGUAUGUUUACUUUAUGUUAAUUUUUCUGACACUGUACCUAAAUUCCAGAAGUUACUGCUGUUUGGGUCCGGGUAAUCAAUAGGGACUGUCAAAAGAAAUGAUUUACCCUUCCCUUGGUUGUAAUCACUUUCCCCAAAUACAUUGUCUCUAUCAAGUCUAUGCAUGUAAUAUCCCAAAUGCCUUAUUGUAGGUGAUUCUAUUUUCAUAGGAAGCAGGUAAUAUAAAACAUUCUAACUUUGGGAGGCCGAGGCGGGCGGAUCACGAGGUUAGGAGAUCAAGACCAUCCUGGCUAACACGAUGAAACCCCGUCUCUACUAAAAAUACAAAAAAAAAAAUUACCCGGACGUGGUGGCGGGCGCCCGUAGUCCCAGCUACUUGGGAGGCUGAGGCAGGAGAAUGGCAUGAACCCAGGAGGUGGAGCUUGCAGUGAGCCAAGAUUGUGGCACUGCACUACAGCCUGGGUGACAGAGUGAGACUCUGUCUCAAAAAAAAAAAAAAAAAAAAAAAAAAAGAACCAUUUUAACACUGUUUCUCUUUCUUUCUAUUCCAUUCAAGAUUUUCAAAUAGGUGAAGCUACAAUUAGGACUGGCUACUUCAGUGAGUAUAUUACCCUUUGAAGGGCAGGAUUCACCCAGGUCAUCUUAAGAUAGAGUAAAUCGGCCUUAGAAAGUGAGACCUUGUUGUUACUCAGAGGGUAGCGUUGAGUUACUGCCCCUACUGGACAUCACCUCGCGGGGCUCAUUACUUUUCCCAGAACCCAAUUAUCUUACCACAUCACAAAGUAUUUUACUUAGUCAUUAGAUGUUUUGAAUUACAGAGGUAAAAUUUUCUAUUAUUUACAGGCAAAAUAUGGGAAGGGUAGACAAUCUAGAAAGAGAGAACAGAAUGUUUCUAAUUUUAUACUAUUGACGAUAAUAAAACUUCAGAGAAAAAGAGCAAAAAUCACCAAAUUAAAAACAACAACAUGAAUAUCUGCUCCAACCAAUGAAGAAACGAAGAAACAAAAAUAUGUUAAGCGUCAAGACAAAACCCUGCCUAUCGUUGAUGCUCAAUUAAAAUUUGUGGAAU